GAUGAACGCUGGCGGCGUGCCUAAUACAUGCGAGUCGAGCGAACAGACGAGGAGCUUGCUCCUCUGACGUUAGCGGCGGACGGGUGAGUAACACGUGGAUAACCUACCUAUAAGACUGGGAUAACUUCGGGAAACCGGAGCUAAUACCGGAUAAUAUAUUGAACCGCAUGGUUCAAUAGUGAAAGACGGUUUUGCUGUCACUUAUAGAUGGAUCCGCGCCGCAUUAGCUAGUUGGUAAGGUAACGGCUUACCAAGGCGACGAUGCGUAGCCGACCUGAGAGGGUAAUCGGCCAAACUGAAACUAGAACACGGUCCAGACUCCUACGGGAGGCAGCAGUAGGGAAUCUUCCGCAAUGGGCGAAAGCCUGACGGGGCAACGCCGCGUGAGUGAUGAAGGUCUUCGGAUCGUAAAACUCUGUUAUUAGGGAAGAACAAAUGUGUAAGUAACUAUGCACGUCUUGACGGUACCUAAUCAGAAAGCCACGGCUAACUACGU
rnacentral:rRNA from 1 species